CACGUAGGGUGCGAGCGUUGUCCGGAAUUAUUGGGCGUAAAGAGCUCGUAGGCGGUUUGUCGCGUCGGUCGUGAAAACCUGCAGCUUAACUGUGGGCUUGCGGUCGAUACGGGCAUGACUGGAGUUCGGCAGGGGAGACUGGAAUUCCUGGUGUAGCGGUGAAAUGCGCAGAUAUCAGGAGGAACACCGGUGGCGAAGGCGGGUCUCUGGGCCGAUACUGACGCUGAGGCGCGAAAGCGUGGGGAGCGAACAGG
rnacentral:rRNA from 1 species